CUACGGGAGGCAGCAGUAGGGAAUCUUCGGCAAUGGGGGCAACCCUGACCGAGCAACGCCGCGUGAGUGAAGAAGGUUUUCGGAUCGUAAAGCUCUGUUGUAAGUCAAGAACGGGUGUGAGAGUGGAAAGUUCACACUGUGACGGUAGCUUACCAGAAAGGGACGGCUAACUACGUGCCAGCAGCCGCGGUAAUACGUAGGUCCCGAGCGUUGUCCGGAUUUAUUGGGCGUAAAGCGAGCGCAGGCGGUUUGAUAAGUCUGAAGUUAAAGGCUGUGGCUCAACCAUAGUUCGCUUUGGAAACUGUCAAACUUGAGUGCAGAAGGGGAGAGUGGAAUUCCAUGUGUAGCGGUGAAAUGCGUAGAUAUAUGGAGGAACACCGGUGGCGAAAGCGGCUCUCUGGUCUGUAACUGACGCUGAGGCUCGAAAGCGUGGGGAGCGAACAGGAUUAGAUACCCUGGUAGUCCACGCCGUAAACGAUGAGUGCUAGGUGUUGGAUCCUUUCCGGGAUUCAGUGCCGCAGCUAACGCAUUAAGCACUCCGCCUGGGGAGUACGACCGCAAGGUUGAAACUCAAAGGAAUUGACGGGGGCCCGCACAAGCGGUGGAGCAUGUGGUUUAAUUCAAAGCAACGCGAAAAACCUUACCAGGUCUUGACAUCCC
rnacentral:rRNA from 1 species